CUGGUUUUAUGUGCAAUGAAGAUAAAGACAAGGACAGCUGGUUUACCGAUGACCGAUGGCAACCCCAGGCACUUUCCCUGCUGGGCACAUCUUGUCUUCCCUCUGCAGGUGACAGCAGCAGCUCUGGCAGUUACCUUGAUCCACUCAGCUCAGAAGCAGCGGGCAGUACCGAGCCCUGGAGGCCAGGCGGGCUCAGGAUCUGGCCAACUUCUUUACUCCUCACCUGUGUCUGGUCCAGGCCUCUCCUGGGUCCCAGGGGACUUGGUGGAUGCUCAGUCACUGCUGUACCGUUGUCAUGACAGCAGCUGGAGGAAAGAUACAGCAGUGAACAAAGCACAAGAGACCUCAGCCUCAUGGAACUCAAAUCCCUGUCCUUGUGGAGUGACACAGACAACACACAAAGGCCCCACCCAAGGAGGCUUUUCUCCCUGUGUGCCAGGAAAGGGCUCACUUGAUUUCUUCCAGGCCCAAAGGGGAAACUGGACCUUCAAAAAAAUUAUCCGAGCCGCUACAUGAUCUCCAGGAGCACACUUGAAUGGGUGUAUAGACGGAGGAUUCUUGGACGUGGGGGUGACACUGACCUUUGGCUAGGCUGUGCCUGUGCUGACAGAGAUGGAGCCAAGACUCAGCAGCUGUGAGUGGAGAGAGAGCCGAAGCUUCAA